rnacentral:rRNA from 1 species
GACGAACGCUGGCGGCGCGCUUAACACAUGCAAGUCGAACGGAAAGACCCUGCUUUUGUGGGGUGCUCGAGUGGCGAACGGGUGAGUAACACGUGAGUAACCUGCCCUUGACUUUGGGAUAACUUCAGGAAACUGGGGCUAAUACCGGAUAGGAGCUCCUGCUGAAUGGUGGGGGUUGGAAAGUUUCGGCGGUUGGGGAUGGACUCGCGGCUUAUCAGCAUGUUGGUGGGGUAGUGGCUUACCAAGGCUUUGACGGGUAGCCGGCCUGAGAGGGUGACCGGACACAUUGGGACUGAGAUACGGCCCAGACUCCUACGGGAGGCAGCAGUGGGGAAUAUUGCACAAUGGGCGGAAGCCUGAUGCAGCAACGCCGCGUGCGGGAUGACGGCCUUCGGGUUGUAAACCGCUUUCGCCUGUGACGAAGCGUGAGUGACGGUAAUGGGUAAAGAAGCACCGGCUAACUACGUG